AACGAACGCUGGCGGCAGGCUUAACACAUGCAAGUCGAACGCAUCCUUCGGGGUGAGUGGCAGACGGGUGAGUAACGCGUGGGAACGUGCCCUUCAGUUCGGGAUAACCCAGGGAAACUUGGGCUAAUACCGGAUACGUGCGAGAGCAGAAAGAUUUAUCGCUGGAGGAUCGGCCCGCGUCUGAUUAGCUAGUUGGUGGGGUAAUGGCCCACCAAGGCGACGAUCAGUAGCUAGUCUGAGAGGAUGAUCAGCCACAUUGGGACUGAGACACGGCCCAAACUCCUACGGGAGGCAGCAGUGGGGAAUAUUGGACAAUGGGCGCAAGCCUGAUCCAGCCAUGCCGCGUGAGUGAUGAAGGCCUUAGGGUUGUAAAGCUCUUUCGUCCGGGACGAUAAUGACGGUACCGGAAGAAGAAGCUCCGGCUAACUUCGUGCCAGCCGCCGCGGUAA
rnacentral:rRNA from 1 species